AGGACGAACGCUGGCGGCGUGCUUAACACAUGCAAGUCGAACGGAAAGGCCCUGCUUUUGUGGGGUGCUCGAGUGGCGAACGGGUGAGUAACACGUGAGUAACCUGCCCUUGACUUUGGGAUAACUUCAGGAAACUGGGGCUAAUACCGGAUAGGAGCUCCUGCUGCAUGGUGGGGGUUGGAAGUUUCGGCGGUUGGGGAUGGACUCGCGGCUUAUCAGCUUGUUGGUGGGUAGUGGCUUACCAAGGCUUUGACGGGUA
rnacentral:rRNA from 1 species